GGUGUUGGAGAUUAACUUAGGUCGUUCAUUUUAGGCAAACGCCCCACCUCGAAGCUACACUCUUGGCUCUACCAUUCAAUUUAAUCCCCGUAAGCGCUCAGUUUUGUUUCUCUGACCUUCCCUCCCAUGUUAGUCGUCGAGCUUUUUACUAGUCUUGACAUGGCAUUAUUUAUGUAUGUUCCCUUAAUUACCAGAACGUCCCAGCAAUCAUAAAUUUAACAGACGACCAAAUUCAUAGGAGGCAUUUUGUUGAAUUUGACACCUGAGUGGGAGUCAUUCCUGUCCUCUCCCACACCCGGUGUUGUCAUAGGAUCAGAGCCUCAUUCCUGUGAUUGCAAUUGUUAACUUGAAAGCAGCCUUUAGUUAUUUCUUACUUGCAUAUUGCUUUGCGGAUGGAUUCCUUGCUGGUGUCCUUGGUGCCAUCUCUCAGCAUUCUUCUGGCCCAGCACCAAGACAAACUAACUGUUUUGAAGGGAUCCUAAGGUCAGUGUAGAAAGAAAUUCUUACACACAAAGAAGAGUUUUCGAAGCCCAUUUGUUCAUGUGCCUGUGUGUGCUCUGGGGCAAGAAAGAUUUCAUUUGGUGAAGACUGUUAGGGUAGGAAAACACACAGAUUAAUAGCAGGGGAAUGGAGGGAAAAGGAGAUGAAGGUUGAUCUCAGCAGACUCAAGUUCAAAUCCUGGUUCCAGCUUUUCAAAGGAAUUGAACUUAAGACCUCAUGCUUGCCAGGCAGGCGCUGUGCUGCUGAGCUAUAUCCCUGGCUGAGGCUGGUUAUCUAUACAGAAAAGCCCUGGACAGCACGCUUGCAGGUGCAAGCACUAAGGCUAAAGAAGAACUGAGGUCAAGGCUGCUGAGGCCUUGACUAUCUGAAUGUGUUCCCUGAGGAGAUGAAAGAUCUGGGGACACCAAAUGGCCUUGUGUAUGUUGCAUUCCAUAGGGAUCAGUCUCUGUCUCUGUCUCUGUCUCUGUCUCUCACUCAAUCUCUCUCUCUCAAUCUCUAUCUCUCUCUACUUCUUUCAUGACCUGGAGAGUCAUCCACUCCAUGCAGCCAUGCUUGCCAACUGUCAAUGACAAUCUGAUCUCCCAGGCUGAAUGUCUACAGGGAGAGAAUGUGCAAACGACAGACAAGAACAUCUUGACCUUCACCUCAUUUCUCCCAACAAAAGAGUUCACGGACGUUUUGGCCUGGUCAGUGAGAUUCUGCUGUAGAGAGAUGGAGCCCCUCUAGAUGUGCUGACAAAGCAGAUUUCCAAGAGUGGAAUGCUGAGUGUGACUUUCCAGAGAGGACCUCACUGAGAAUCAACUUUGUGGUAAACUACAGAUCCAACUGGAAGGAUUCCAGUCCUGCCUCAGUGUCACUUGCUGUAUAAUCUUGGGUAUGUUCCUAUGUGGGAAAUGGUAACAUUUAAGUGCAUGCUCCAUGAGGUUGUCAUAAGAGUUACAAGGGCUACUAAGCAUGAAGAUUUAGAAUGAUGCCUAGCAAUAACUAGUUUUCAUUAAGUAGUAGCAGUUAGCAUUGGAGUGGUGAGGACCUAUUUCCCCAGAUGGCACAAACCCUAGGCAAUGUGGUUUUCUCUGGAGGUGUGGA